AGCAGUCUAUUAUUGAUACUAAUCAAGGCAAAUCUUAGAGUUUACAGUGUCUAAUACCCAAACCUAUAUCAGUAAUGAUAAAAUUGAGUAAUUGUUAACAAUGGAGAGUUGUCUCAUUGGCACUCACACCACAUCUUCCUAUAUCUAAUGAAUGUAAUUAUUGUUCAACAGGUUUCCAGAGAACAAAAGAAAACAAAAUAGGCAUCACAAUUGCAUACUGAAGACAAUAUAGGAUGCAUGGUGUUCCAACUGAGUACACAACAGGUCACAGCUCUGUAAAAAGAAGCCAUGAUCAUGGCAUAAUUAAAAAAUCCAGAGGCAGAACAAAAAAUGGUGAAAAAUUAAGAAUAGGAGAUGUAAUUUAUUACUUCCAUAAUGAUCAAAUCUCAACCCUUGAUGGAAC